GUCUAUAGCCAUGCUACCCUGAACAAGCCCCAUCCCGUCUGAUCUCAGAAACUAAACAGGGUUGGGCCUGGUUAGUACUUGGAUGGAAGACCUCCUAGGAAGACCAGGUGCUAUAGUGA
ensembl:rRNA 5S_rRNA 5S ribosomal RNA